UCCGGAUUCCAGGACUUUCCUGUUGUGGGGCGGACUAUGGCUGCCCAGGAAGCCACUCCAGGCAGCCAGCCAGAAGAGAGUGGUACUUUGGACCUGCCAUCAGCUUAUGACAUAAGAGAUUAUGUGCUGCAAAGACCCAGCCAGGAUGCCAACAGUGGGGCUUUUAGCUCUGUGGAAUCCUUUUCUUUUCCUUGUUCUUCUGAUGUGGAUCCAGACAACAAUAACCUAAAUAUUGAGCACAAUGAUUCUUGGACCUCUGAGAACUUCUGGCUUGACCCUUCUUUGAAAGGUCAACAAGAGACCAAAGCAGAGGAUGAUGCACUUCGGGAAUCUCUGGACAGAUUCUAUGAAAUGUUCAGCCACCCACAGCCAGCCUCUAGAAGUCCACUCUCUGCAUCUGUCUGCCGAUGCCUGACUCAGAAAGUCAAUGAACUGAAGGGCCAGGAGAACCCGCCGCAGUAUGCCCUCCGCAGUUUUCAGAUGGCCCGGGUCAUCUUCAGCCGGGAUGGCUGCUCAGCCUUACAGAGGCAUUCCAGGGAUGCCCACUUCUACCCACCCAAGAAAGAAAGUGUGUCUCUGGAUAAUGAAAAGCCAACCCCAGGACUUUCAAAUGAUAUUAUUCACUUCCUCUUGCAGCAGAAUGUGAUGAAAGACGUGUAACUGGGGCCUAGUGAUGAGCGCAGGCAAUAGGGAGGGUAGCCUGAGGCUGACGCUGUUGCGCUUGCACCACCCAGACCCCCUCGGUCUCUCUUGCCAACUCAGUUCCCAGCCACAGUGACCUGGUCCUGGAGCUAAUUCAGCCCAUGUGGAGAGUCAGCAGCCUCUGGGUUUUUAUAGUCCCAAAGACCACGCCUCCCUAUCACUUCCUUUGAUCUAAGCCCAGGAUUGAGGGCCAAAAACCCAGCUUCCUUGUCUCAAGGAAGGACAUGCUCAGAGGCAUAAUUUACUCUCCAGAGCUCCCCUCUGAAUCAGGCAGGUCUUUUGGGCACUCUUGGCUGGAGAGAGAAGUCUUUUACAGGAGGAUUUACAUAUUAAGGCUCCCAGUUCUGGCAAGAUCAGAGGUAAGAAACAAUGUUCCACAUUGAAGUGCAGGGCCAGCUCUGCAGAAGAUCUAAGUGCUAGCAAAGGGCAAAUGAACAGGUGAUGGAGACAUACUUGAGGAAACAAGAUUUCAGAUUUUUCUCUGAAAGGCAGUUGUCUGCAUCUUUUUCCAUGGACUUCUUCUGUUCAACUGGCUCUCAAAUAAUCAUAAAAUCAGUGGGACUUAUGAUUGAAAAGCUACAAGUUGAAUUUUAAGUUGGCUAAUUUUAUUUUUUUAAUGUAAAACAAAUGAAUAGAUGCCCUUGAAGGAUGUUGUCAUUUUUAGUAUUAUCCAGUUGCUGAAAUAUUGGAGGUUAGUUUCCAUAGUCACCAACUAAAGAAUACUAGAUUAUUUUAUAUUAUUGUUAAAGGACAAAAGAUAUAAGCUAACUUGAAUCUCCAUGCGGGGAAGCAGCAGCUUCUAUUUGACAGCGAUAUUUUACGGUCAGUAAUUUAAUAGCCUUUAUUAAUAUCAGUCCUGAGAGCGUUCAGCAAGAGGUAGGAUUGGAAAGCAAAGAUUUUAGAAGUCUAAAAGCCAGAAUCACCUUAGGUUAAAAAAAAAAGCGAGACAUGUGUUGGUUUGCAUCGGAGUAAGUGCUUGUGACAGUUCAGUACAAGGUAUUUGAUUUCCUGCAAUCUCACUCUUUAAUUUGAUCUUCAUGUGGUUAGAGGGCAUUUUCCAUUUAUCUCAGUUUACCUUUAAUAGUGACUAAGAGAUAAGGAUAGUGAGGCUCUGGCCUUUGGCAUUAUUGUUGAAUUCUUCCCUACAGAUCACAUCGCCAUCUUACAAACUAAUGAACAUUCUGAUUGGCCUAUUAUUUGUGGCCUUCUUCCAAGGCCUCUGUGAGGAUGGAUUUGCUUACAGGACAUCAGAACUUUAAAGGAGAGAAUACUACCCGUGUUUUAAGUUUGUGUAACUGUUAUUUACUUCAUUAGUCAGAGAACUCCAUCAUCACAGGUUUAUAUUCAGAGAAAGAACAUGUAAAGUGAGUUGAAUGACAGCUCCUUUGGGAUAAAUAAUUAAGCAGAUAAGCUUGUGGACCAGAGUAAGGCAACUCACUGGGCUUCUCCACUCAUUGCUUUUUUCUUAAAUACCCAAGAGCCAUGCAUCAGAGACAGUGAAUUGAACAAAAUAUUCUCCAAGUCUACCUAAGUGAAUCCUUUCCACUGGCUGUUUCAUUAGGUGGUGCAUUCACAGAAGACACAACAUUAGCAUUCCUCCCUCCUUCUCUUAUUUUCUCCUCUGUCUCCUUCAACUUUUGCAACUUGAUGUUGAAUGCCUAAAGCACACUUUAUUAUUUCAUGAGAAUGCAAUUCAUGCGCAUUCAAACUGUGAAAGAAUUCUGGUUGCCUUUGCAAGGUCCCCCUGGGAUCCUGAUUAAAGCUUGCCACAUUGAGUCUAAAAGGUAUGUGGCCCAUUUUGAUGUAAGGUGUGGAAUUCACAGAUGCAGUGGUUACAAUUCCUGGUAGCAAAGAUAUAAUGCCUAACUAUGCCCUGACAUUCACCUUCACUUCCUUCCUCUUUCCCAUUAUAUACAGGUCUCCUUUAUCUUAAAUUUUUUGGGGCACACAUACAUAGACCCAUGAACCAAAAAAAAAAGGGGGCGGGGAAGAAAAACCUUUGUUUAGUCUAUUAGCUUCUGUCCAGCUCCUCCUCUUCCCUUUUCUCCCAUCUUCUGAACCGGGAAAUAGCAAAACACGAGAUGCUGGAAUUUGAAGAAAGAGAAGACCUUGAGAUCUUGCUUUGCCACUGUGUGCCUCCAGGCAUGUCACUCAGCUUCUCUGGGCCUGAAUUUACUUAGUUGCAAUGUGUGCAUAACAGAUGGUCAGUCUUUAUAAGACCUUUAUAAGUUAAUAACUUCAAUAUAUAUGUGUACAAAAUAUGCCUGAAAUGCUUUGUAAAUGGUAGAGUGCACUGAAAUUGGGAGGUGACCCCAUCCAUAGUAGUUACUUAUCCCUUUCUCAUUGGUCCUAUAUUGCUACCGCUCCUUGGUGAAACCCCUCCGCCAUGACUCACUAACAACCACCUCCCUUGAAGAUAAGGCUUUGUCAUUUGGCAGUAUUUAUGAGGUUGAAGUUGGAAAAGUUGGAUCAGCUACUUUCUUCUAAAUCAUGGUGUAAUUCAAGUUUGGAUCCAGAAUGGCAACAGACUAGGCACCUCUGCUUCUGAAUGUUGUAAGGCAUCUUAGUUUCAUCUCUGUCAAAUUUAAAAAUGGAUUAGAGGGACUCUUCAACCAAAUAUUCAGACUGGGUUAAACAAGAUUUCAAAGGUUUCUGAAAAGGGGAAUCAUGUUCUUAAAGGAGAUUUCUCUGCACUUUUCAAAUUCCAUUGCUAAGCAUCAUCUUAUUUGUUUCAGGAGAAACCCAAGUGCCAGCUGUAGGGCAUCAUCUGGAUUUUCUUAGGUAGAAUGAUGACUUCCCUGAAGAGUUCUUUACAGAGCUUUCAGGUGUAGUUCCCAGUUGCUCUACAGUUACUGUGAAAAAGUUCAAAGGUGAUAUAAAAGUGUCUAGUGUGCAAAUGUUAUAGAGCAGCCCCGAUAUUGAACCGGUUCCUGGCUGUCAUGUUGGCUGUAUGCUUCUGAGAAGUUGUAAGCUUCCUAUUUCCCAAAAUGAAAAAGGGCAUAUUCAUCAUUAUUAUUAUUAUUUUAAAAUAAUGAACAGAAGACUAAGUUGUCAUUGAAACUGUAGCAAAAACUAAACAGGGUGGCUGCAUACUAAAAGAUUUAUGUAAGAUUAAGUGAUUGCUAACAAAAUAUGCAACAUAUUCAGGAUACCAUAAAAAAUCACUUGUCAUAUCAAAAUCUAGGCAAAUCACAACACAAUGAGAGAGGACAAUAGCUGACACCAGGCGUGGGAUGAAUCAGAUGUUGGAUCUAUCUGGCAAGGAUUUUAAAUCAGCCACCAAACGUGGCUUCAAUAAGUAAUUAUGAAAUCACUUGAAACUUAUAAAAAAAAAAUAGAAAACUUCUUUCUCAGCAAUGAAAUAUGUUACAAAAAAGAACCAAUUGGAAAUUGGUUGCAGUGAAAAUUGCAAACUGAAAAGUGCAAACACCAAAAUGGAAAAAAAGAACAAUUCCAUGGAAUGUAGAUGGCCAAAGAGGAAAUCACUGAAUUAAAGACAAUUCAAUCAAAUUUACUCAAUCUGAAAAACAGAGAAGAGAGCCAUUGGGGUGGGGGCGGGGGCACGCCGUGUGGGAUCUAAUAUGUCAUCAGAGCCCCAGAAGCUCAAACUUUCUCACACCUCCAGAACAUUCCAUUUCUUCUCCAGCCCCAUGGCUCUACCCAUUUCUGCUUUAUCCUACAC